UCCGGUAUACUUCCGGAAAAUUUGCAUAAAACUAGCAAGUGAGCUUUGUUUUCUGUACAGUUCUAAGGAUUGAUUGCUAGGUUUUAGCAAACAAAUAUGGACUUUUCAAGUUUUGAGAGUAUCUUCAGACCAUCUGCAAAUACUGAGUUUUGAGACGUGUCAAAUAGAUGGCGUGUUGAUUGGGUCAAUAAUGGAAUGGCGGUUUGUUGUCAAAAGUUAAGCUAUCCUUUCUUCGAAAAUUACCAAUGAAUUCAUUGGAAAAAACGUGAAAGGGUCGUGGCCGUCGUGCAGCCUACCAUCAACUAUUUGUUCAAAAUCAUUGUUUUCUACUGAAUGUGCCAUCGAAAUGAUACAGGAGUCAUAAUUGUAUUGGACUUGCUAGAUCACCAACCCCAGCAUAGACCAAUCUCUCAUUUCAUCUUCUCGAGAGAAGAUUGGAUAACUGAUCUGUGGUUUCACAUGUUCUAAACUCCAGCUUUGUAAAUUUGCAUGGCAGACUUUAUGAGAAGUCAUGUCCUUU